GACGAACGCUGGCGGCGUGCCUAAUACAUGCAAGUUGAGCGAUGAAGAUUGGUGCUUGCACCAAUUUGAAGAGCAGCGAACGGGUGAGUAACGCGUGGGGAAUCUGCCUUUGAGCGGGGGACAACAUUUGGAAACGAAUGCUAAUACCGCAUAACAACUUUAAACAUAAGUUUUAAGUUUGAAAGAUGCAAUUGCAUCACUCAAAGAUGAUCCCGCGUUGUAUUAGCUAGUUGGUGAGGUAAAGGCUCACCAAGGCGAUGAUACAUAGCCGACCUGAGAGGGUGAUCGGCCACAUUGGGACUGAGACACGGCCCAAACUCCUACGGGAGGCAGCAGUAGGGAAUCUUCGGCAAUGGACGAAAGUCUGACCGAGCAACGCCGCGUGAGUGAAGAAGGUUUUCGGAUCGUAAAACUCUGUUGGUAGAGAAGAACGUGGGUGAGAGUGGAAAGCUCAUCAAGUGACGGUAACUACCCAGAAAGGGACGGCUAACUACGU
rnacentral:rRNA from 1 species